UGUCGCCCCGUCUCACUUCCCUCUCUCUCCCUCGCAUCGCUCGCACACGAGCAGCCGCCGUUCCUCUCCGCCUUCCUCCUCCACCACACGGCCUGCCCUCCCUUGUGCUAGCCUCUCACGGCCAUGAAGGGCGACGAGCUCGCAGUUCCCGUCAUCGGGAGGCAAGAGACCGAUGGACCUAGAGCAUCCCCAUCGACGGGAGGAGCGGGAGGAGUGCAGGAACCGACGGCGUCCCUCCGGCGACCGGAUCGGCUCCCUCGUGCCGCCUCAACCCCAAGUCCGACGGCCUCCUCUCCCUCCAGUGCUGCUGCUCCACCCUCUCCGACGCCCCUUCCCUUGUAUCCCAAGGGAGGGGUGGGGAUGGAAGGGAAUGGCCCAGAUUGAGGAUCGAGGGACGAGGUGAGGCAGCGCUCAGAUCCACGGCGGCAUCGGCGCGCCGUCGUCGACCUGAGCCGCCACCGUCCUCGAGGUCAACCAUGGAGUGGGGUCUAACCCGUCUACAGCCAUGGAUGGAGACGCCCCAAACCCUAGCAUGGGUACCGAGCCGCAAUGGAUGUUCGAAUGAGGCACUGCACCGGAUCCCUCUCCUCUUCCUCCAUCUUCCAUGGAUUUCUCCUCUCUCUUUCUGUCCCUCUCUCACCAUGGUCUCAUCUCUGUAGGAAGGAGGCCAGCGGCCAGGACGAUGCCAUGGUAUGACCUUGCUUUGCUCCUUCCCCACCAUGACCACACCAUGCAAGCAGCAGCAAGGUUCCUUGGUGGGUACAACAGCAGCAGAAAGAGGAAACCAUGGUGGGUACAGCGGCAGCAGCAGCGGCUCGAUGGACGCAUGGACGCCACCAUGGAAGGUCUCCCUUCUCCUCUCAUUUCUUUCUAUUUUGAUAGCCCCCUGAUGUACAAGUGAUAUGCUUUGUUGCUACUAUACUACUUGUGUCUCAUUCAGAUUCGGUGCUUCUUUUCUUUAGCAUGAAUGUGCUUAUUUCUCCAUCCCUUUCCACUGGCAUGGGGUGGUAGCAUUGUUUACUGGAUGAUUACCAAUGGAGUCAUUUGAGCUAAGAAAAUAUACUGUCUUUUGAUCUCUGAUGCGACCAUUUCCUGAUAUUAAUUACUUAAUUAGUGAUCACAUGGUUUCCUUGUGCCUAAUUUAUGGCAGCUGUGGGGCUGGAGGCGACAUUCGGGGUUGGAGAUGGCAUGAGAAGCAGAGCUCCUUGUGCCACUCUCUCUACAAAGAAAGUGUAGUCUGCAAGCUUAUCAAAUCUGGGUACUGUUUGUAAAAGUGCAGCACCAUGCAUCACUACAUGGUGCUAUGAAAAUUCAAGCGGGCUGAAGUAAAGAUUACUCUAUGUAAAAUUCAUGCUUCAAUGCCUACUCGGAAAUAUAUCCGUGCUUGGUAGUUUGAGACUAUUGGUGUCAAGAUCUUGCUCCAAAUGCACAUGAUCGAAUUAGUGUUCUAUACAGAGUAACACUUUUGGGCUUUGGGUUGCCGCUAGAGCCGGACAAGAUAAGGCUUGCCUUACCUGGUGACGUACUGGCUAGGAGAGUGCAAGCUGCCGCCCACACGUACCAGAUGGUCCCAUCAAGGACGUUGUCGUACCGACUGCCAAUGAUCUACAGCUCAGGCCAUUUUUGUCGUUGUAUGACAAGGCUAUCAAUGUCAUCACUGAGCCGCCUUCUUUGCUUCAGAGGCUUAUUGUGCUGCUAUAGUUCUCUGUCUCUUAUCCACUCACCCAUUGUAGUGCAGCAAUUGCAACCUCCACAUUCCCAUGGCUGCUCAUCCUCUAACUUUCUCUAGCUGAGCUCAUGCCACCACUGCGGCACACCUCUCUUGUAGCUAUCGGGUGACCGCGUGUGCCGUUGCCACCACUAGCGAGAUCUGGGAGAAAGAGGAGGCAAAGAGGGAGAUGGAGCAGCAAGAAUAAAGGUAAAGGAAGGAGGAAGAGGAGACACCCUAAGCAUGCUGGUGACCUCCAGGCCCGCUACUACGACUUCUCCAAGCAACACCAAUCUACAACAGCAAGUGUCUCGAGCAAGAUGACCAAGUGUUGGUGGGUGGGCAUCAACAAGGUGGGCUGUCAGCACGGUGUGCGAGUUGGUCAGUAGUGGUGCACCUGCACCAUGUAUGGAUCAAUACUCUAGGAGGUUGUGUCGAGGCCCAAUCCAUCCAGGCCCUUCGUUGGAGGUGGCCAAGGUGGGCGACCGCACAGGGCCCCAAAAAUUUGGGGCCCCCAAAUUACUAGAGUGUUCCUGAAUCCCAUCGAUCGCUAACACGCCGCCGGUUCGCCUGCUUCCGCCACGAGCAGACGUCGUCUCGUCUGCUGCAGUCCUGCCUUCCGCCAAUCGCCCGCCUGCUGGUUCUGCUAGUCGCCCAAGACGUCGUCCGCUUCUGCCUCCCGCCCGGAAAGUCGCCCGCUUCUGCCUUCCAAGGUUCCGCCAGUCGCUCGCCCGGAAAGUCGCCCGCUUCUGCCUCCCGCGUCCGCGGUUCCGUCAUCGGCGAUCGGCCAGGCUGCCAUUAGAAGGCAUUUAUUUCUGAAUCAUCAUGUCUUCGAGAACAUAUGAUUCUGGUUCUAAAAAGCGUAAGAAGAAGCAAAAGCAAGAAGCAGAAGCGCAACGUCUAAAGGGUUCUCUUGACAGAUUUGUCGUGAAAGAACCUCCAUUAAAUUCUGACGCCCAGACUGUAGUUGAGACAGAGGCUGGCACUGUAAAUGAAGAUGAUGAUGCUAACAUUGCAGAUGGAGGUGAUAAUGUUAAUAUUGGUGCUGAAGAUGAUGCUGUUAGUACUGCCGUUGAAGGUGAUGAUUACAGCAACAAUUAUUUUACGCCUGAUAUAUUUGAUCCAAGAAACUGGGUUGCACUUGAUGCUAAAAUGAUUGAUAUUUUGCUACAAAAGGGUCCUAAAAGAGACUGGUCUAUUGAGCAUGGUGAUGUAGACAAAUUCGGUAGAAGGUUUUCUGCAUUGUCAUACACUAGAGUUCUCUCAAAUGGAGAAAAAUGUGACAGAGAAUGGCUUGUAUACAGCAAAUAUCUUGACAAACUAUUUUGUUUCUGCUGCAAAUAAUUAAGAAAGGGGCAUGUGAGAGGUCAUUUAGCACAUGAUGGUUUCAAUGACUGGCAUCAUCUUCUCACUAGACUUAAAGAGCAUGAAACUAGUAGAAGUCCUACUUGCGUUCUACUAUGACACAAGAAAGACUCACUGGGUUGGCGACAAUAGCACCUGAAAAUGAUGUCCUGGAAAAGAAUAAGUAUGAAGAUAUGAUUGAAGAUUUCAUUUCAAGGAAUACUAGACGAAUGUUGACUUUCGGCAAGACAUGAGGUUAGUUUAUAGCUUUAAUAUCCCUUUACUAUUUUUUUAGCAUUAGUAUUUGAUAUAUGUCUAAAUAUUAUGCAAAAGAAAUCAGACUGGAUUUGUGUAAUAAAUGGAGAGUACGAAUGAGCUAUAUUAGUUCUUCUGUCAUAUGACACCUUUUGAA